AUAUACAGUGUGUGUGUGUGUGUGUGUGUGUGUGUGUAUAUAUAUAUAUAUAUAUACACACACACACACUGUAUAUCC